CGCUGCUACCUGCAGUCGAACGGACCAUAGCAAUAUGGUUAGUGGCGAACGGGUGAGUAACACGUGACUAAUCUGCCCCGGAGUGGGGAACAACGGAGGGAAACUUCCGCUAAUACCGCAUGUUGAGAUGGGAUCGCAUGGUUCUGUCUUGAAAGAUUUAUCGCUCCGGGAUGAGGUCGCGCCCCAUUAGCUUGUUGGCGAGGUAACGGCUCACCAAGGCGACGAUGGGUAGCUGGUCUGAGAGGAUGAUCAGCCACACUGGGACUGAGAUACGGCCCAGACUCCUAUGGGAGGCAGCAGUGAGGAAUAUUGCGCAAUGGGCGAAAGCCUGACGCAGCAACGCCGCGUGAAGGAUGAAGGUCCUUUGGAUUGUAAACUUCUGUAGGGAGGGACGAAUUGCCUGGUUUUGCCGGGCCUGACGGUACCUCCAAAGUAAGCACCGGCUAACUCCGUGCCAGCAGCCGCGGUAAUACGGAGGGUGCAAGCGUUGUCCGGAUUCACUGGGUGUAAAGGGCGUGUAGGCGGGAGCAUGUGUCAGAAGUGAAAUCGCGCGGCUUAACCGUGUCAAUUGCUUCUGAAACUGUGCUUCUUGAAUGCGGGAGAGGCAGAUGGAAUUCCAGGUGUAGCGGUGGAAUGCGUAGAUAUCUGGAAGAACACCGGUGGCGAAGGCGGUCUGCUGGCCCGUGAUUGACGCUGAGGCGCGAAAGUGUGGGGAGCAAACAGGAUUAGAUACCCUGGUAGUCCACACCAUAAACGAUGAUUACUAGAUGUCGGAGGAUUCGACCCCUUCGGUAUCGACGCUAACGCAUUAAGUAAUCCACCUGGGGGAGUACGCUCGCAAGGGUGAAAC
rnacentral:rRNA from 1 species